GUUUUUCUCACUAAUUUGAAUUUACUCUUUUUAAGCUGCAGUGGUGCAAAUGGAGAAGGAUUUGGGAGCUUUCAUCAGCAGAUCAUGUAUUCUUAAUGCACAUAUCGGAAACAGUCUUCUGAGUGAACCCCACCCCAGGCCAGUUCUUCCUCAUCUCACUUCUGAGUGGAUAAUGCAGGCUGACCUUCAGGAACUGGUUCUAAUCUGGCUCAUCAGUUCUCAAGAGACUUCAUUUCCACAGUCCUUGGGUUGGUAACUCCCUGGCACACCAGUCUGUACACAACAGAAAUCAAGAUGUGGCAAACUGCAGGGACCUCUCUAGGAGAAGCAAUACCACCUUCACCCCUGCUCCCUGCUGAGUUCCAGCUGAGGACAGUGGCAUUCAGGAGGACACUUGAGAUACAUCAGCCUGGCCUCUGUUUCAGGAAGCUUGAACACGUACCUGGGUCACUCAGAAUAACCAGAGAGCUGUGUCCAAGACCAUGCCUGGAAGGAUAGUUUUCAAACAGAAUUCAUUGUGUUGUAAUCUCUAUUCAGGCUAUUUUCAUGGUGAGAGGAAUCACCUCAGGAAAUUUUCACAAGUUUGGCUGUAAGGACAUGCAAAAGUAACUGCAGGAUAUGUACAAGUCUGCUUAUCACAAGAUUUCUCUCCCUCCCUCCAUCCCCCAUCUAUCUUUCUCUUUCAUAAUAGCCCCCCGAGAGAUGUCUUUAUAGAAUCUUAGUAUCAAGAUAGGAUGCCAUUUUCUCGAGUUACUGACUUAUUUUUAUUUCAUGGAUAUUUCAAAUUAUAUUUUCUAUUUUGUGUUGCUUGAUAAAGCUUACAUCAAAAUUUGUGAUUAGUCCACAAUAACUUUUACUAAAAUGUCAAUUCAUCCAAUCCAGGAUGACUCCAUCUUUGUUCUGUGCAAAGAAGUUACUCAUUAUAAAGUGGGUUGUUGUUGUUGGUGGUGGUGGGGUGUGUGUGUGUGUGUGUGUGUGUGAAGAACUAAUUUCUUACCUCCUCUGGGACAUUGGAGCCUCACCAAAGAGUUCAUGCAGUCAGGCUAAAUAUGCACAUUGUUUUCCAAUCACAAACCCUCCUUUUCCACUCUUUUAUUUGAUUCCAUACAACAUUCUUCAGGGUAGUUUAUGCCACCUUCUCAGGACCCCACAAAACUGACCAUUUCAGCCAUUUAAAAUUUCC
rnacentral:lncRNA from 1 species